UACGUAGGGUGCGAGCGUUGUCCGGAAUUAUUGGGCGUAAAGAGCUCGUAGGCGGUGUGUCGCGUCGGCCGUGAAAACCUGGGGCUUAACUCUGGGCGUGCGGUCGAUACGGGCAUCACUGGAGUUCGGCAGGGGAGACUGGAAUUCCUGGUGUAGCGGUGAAAUGCGCAGAUAUCAGGAGGAACACCGGUGGCGAAGGCGGCUCUCUGGGACGGUACUGACGCUGAGACGCGAAAGCGUGGGGAGCGAACAGG
rnacentral:rRNA from 1 species